rnacentral:tRNA from 1 species
GGAGUUGUGACUCAGAGGUAGAGGGCUCGCCUAGCACAUGUGAGGCCCUGGGUUCAAUCCUCAGCACCCCA